rnacentral:rRNA from 1 species
GCAAGUCGAGCGAGAAGUACAUGAAGGAUCCUUCGGGUGACAGAAUGAAUGGAACGCGGCGGAAGGGUGAGUAACGCGUGGGUAACCUGCCUUGUACAGAGGGAUAGCCACUGGAAACGGUGAUUAAUACCUCAUGAAGCUAUAGUAUCGCAUGAUACAUUAGUCAAAACUCUGGUGGUACAAGAGGGACCCGCGUAUGAUUAGCUAGUUGGUAGGGUAACGGCCUACCAAGGCGACGAUCAGUAGCCGACCUGAGAGGGUGAUC